rnacentral:rRNA from 1 species
UACGUAGGGUGCAAGCGUUAAUCGGAAUUACUGGGCGUAAAGCGUGCGCAGGCGGUUUUGUAAGUUUGUCGUGAAAUCCCCCGGGCUCAACCUGGGAAUGGCGAUGAAGACUGCAAGGCUAGAAUCUGGCAGAGGGGGGUAGAAUUCCACGUGAUAGCAGUGAAAUGCGGUGAGAGCAUGUUGGGAGGAACAACCGGAUGGCGCAAGGCAGCCCCCCUGGGUCAAGAUUGACGCUCCAUGCACGAAAGGCGUGGGGAGCAAACG